GCCUGACCAGCGGCAACCAGCCAGACCGACCCGUGCCCGCGUUCUUGUAAGCGGAAGGUUCGGGGUUCGAGUCCCCGCGUCGGCUCCA
rnacentral:tRNA from 1 species